rnacentral:rRNA from 1 species
GGAGCAUGUGGUUUAAUUCGAUGCAACGCGAAGAACCUUACCUACUCUUGACAUCCAGAGAAUUCGCUAGAGAUAGCUUAGUGCCUUCGGGAACUCUGAGACAGGUGCUGCAUGGCUGUCGUCAGCUCGUGUUGUGAAAUGUUGGGUUAAGUCCCGCAACGAGCGCAACCCUUAUCCUUGUUUGCCAGCACAUAAUGGUGGGAACUCCAGGGAGACUGCCGGUGAUAAACCGGAGGAAGGUGGGGACGACGUCAAGUCAUCAUGGCCCUUACGAGUAGGGCUACACACGUGCUACAAUGGCGUAUACAGAGGGCUGCAAACUAGCGAUAGUAAGCGAAUCCCACAAAGUACGUCGUAGUCCGGAUUGGAGUCUGCAACUCGACUCCANNAAGUNNGAAUCGC